GACGAACGCUGGCGGCGUGCCUAAUACAUGCAAGUCGAACGCAGUGGGGACGGUUGAGUGACACGUGGGUAACCUCCCAUCAGAGGGGAUAACACUUGGCAACAGGUGCUAAACCGAUACUGAUGGAUGGUCCCGGGGUGCAUUAGCUAGUUGGUGAGGUAACGGCUCACCAGGGCCACGAUGCAUAGCCGACCUGAGAGGGUGAUCGGCCACACUGGGACUGAGACACGGCCCAGACUCCUACGGGAGGCAGCAGUGGGGAAUCUUGGGCAAUGGACGAAAGUCUGACCGAGCAACGCCGCGUGAGUGAAGAAGGUGUUCGGAUUGUAAAGCUCUGUUGUUAGAGAAGCGGUAUCUACACAGAAAGCCACGGCUAACUACGUGCCAGCAGCCGCGGUAAUUC
rnacentral:rRNA from 1 species